rnacentral:rRNA from 1 species
CGGGUGAGUAACACGUGGAUAACCUACCUAUAAGACUGGGAUAACUUCGGGAAACCGGAGCUAAUACCGGAUAAUAUAUUGAACCGCAUGGUUCAAUGGUGAAAGACGGUUUUGCCGUCACUUAUAGAUGGAUCCGCGCCGCAUUAGCUAGUUGGUAAGGUAACGGCUUACCAAGGCAACGAUGCGUAGCCGACCUGAGAGGGUGAUCGGCCACACUGGAACUGAGACACGGUCCAGACUCCUACGGGAGGCAGCAGCC